GCUCCUAGUACGAGAGGACCGGAGUGGACGAACCGCUGGUGUUCGGGUUGUGUCGCCAGACGCAUUGCCCGGUAGCUAAGUUCGGAAUCGAUAACCGCUGAAAGCAUCUAAGCGGGAAGCGAGCCUCAAGAUGAGUCAUCCCUAGACCUUUAAGGUCUCUAAAGGGUUGUUGAAGACUACAACGUUGAUAGGUCGGGUGUGUAAGUGCUGUGAGGCAUUGAGCUAACCGAUACUAAUUGCCCGUGAGGCUUAACCAUACAACACCCAAGGGGUUU
rnacentral:rRNA from 1 species